rnacentral:rRNA from 1 species
GACGAACGCUGGCGGCGUGCUUAACACAUGCAAGUCGAACGAGUGGCGAACGGGUGAGUAAUACGUGGGUAACCUGCCCUCUUUUUGGGAUAAGCCUUGGAAACGGGGUCUAAUACCGAAUAAAGGGGGAUGGGCUCGCGGCCUAUCAGCUUGUUGGUGGGGUGAUGGCCUACCAAGGCGGCGACGGGUAGCCGGCCUGAGAGGGUGGACGGCCACAUUGGAACUGAGGCACGGCCCAGACUCCGACGGGAGGCAGCAGUGGGUAAUAUUGGUCAAUGGGGGAGAGCCUGAACCAGCCAAGUAGCGUGCAGGAUGACGGCCUAUUGGUUGUAAACUGCUUUUGUAUGGGGAUAGGUACCAUACGAAUAAGGACCGGCUAAUUCCGUGCCAGCAGCCGCGGUAAUAC